rnacentral:misc_RNA from 1 species
AAAGUCGUAACAAGGUCUCCGUUGGUGAACCAGCGGAGGGAUCAUUACAGAGUUAUCUAACUCCCAAACCCAUGUGAACUUACUUUUGUUGCCUCGGCAGUUUGGGCGAGCCUACCCUGUAGCGAGUUACCCCGUAACGAGUUACCCUGUAGCUGCUUACCCUGUAACGGCUGCCGAUGGACCACUAAACUCUUGUUAUUUUUAAGUAAUCUGAGCGUCUUAUUUUAAUAAGUCAAAACUUUCAACAACGGAUCUCUUGGUUCUG